GGGGCUGACUUGGAUUUCGACAGAUUUCUUGUCGCACAGAUAGCAUGCCAAGUGCUGCUUGUAAAACAGCAACAAAAAUAACUGUAAACAACGCAGAUUACGCUCCAGCUUACGCUAAAGCUGCGUGAGUUAAUCUCCUUUUGGAGCUGGACUGAUUAGAAUUUCUAGCGUUUUAAUCACUCCAUAACCUUAAGCUAGACGCUUUUAAAAGGUGGUUCGCCUUUUAAACUAAGAACAAGAACUCUUGAAACUACCUCAAGGUUUUAGAAAGUUGGACCAGAGCUAGUUUUAAGGCUAAAAACUAACCAAUUUUCUAAGCAUUGUAGAAAUUUGUGUUUAGGACAAGAUUUUUGGACUGGGGUUCGAUUCCCCACAGCUCCACCA
rnacentral:tmRNA from 1 species